GUCAGGACGGUUCGAGUAAGUGAUAUUUCGGAACAGAAUUCAUAUUUAAUAUGAAUUCUGUUCCGAAAUAUCACUUACUCGAACCGUCC